rnacentral:rRNA from 1 species
UACGAAGGGGGCUAGCGUUGUUCGGAAUCACUGAGCGUAAAGCGCACGUAGGCGGAUGUGCCAGUCAGGGGUGAAAUCCCGGAGCUCAACUUCGGAACUGCCUCUGAUACAGCACGUCUUGAGUCCGGAAGAGGUGGGUGGAAUUCCUAGUGUAGAGGUGAAAUUCGUAGAUAUUAGGAAGAACACCAGUGGCGAAGGCGGCUCACUGGAUCGGUACUGACGCUGAGGUGCGAAAGCGUGGGGAGCAAACAGG